CAAAGAUUUAUCGCCUAAGGAUGAGCCCGCGUAGGAUUAGCUUGUUGGUGAGGUAAAAGCUCACCAAGGCGACGAUCCUUAGCUGGUCUGAGAGGAUGAUCAGCCACACUGGGACUGAGACACGGCCCAGACUCCUACGGGAGGCAGCAGUGGGGAAUAUUGGACAAUGGGCGAAAGCCUGAUCCAGCAAUGCCGCGUGAGUGAUGAAGGCCUUAGGGUUGUAAAGCUCUUUUACCCGGGAUGAUAAUGACAGUACCGGGAGAAUAAGCUCCGGCUAACUCCGUGCCAGCCGCCGCGGUAAUU
rnacentral:rRNA from 1 species